AUGUUUUUACGUAAAGGCCUAAAAUCACUAAAGGACAAAUUGUUUUGCUCCUUUAAUGAAGUUUUUGCAUUUGUUGAAAUUUUUGGGUUCUAGUUGUAAUUACAUGAAGUAGGGAACUUUUGUGUUUUUACAAAGUGACCUCAAAAGUUUAUGUUUUGCAAUAUAGCCCAAUAGUUGAGGUUAUUGCAUUUUAGCCCAAAUUAGUAGAGAACAAAAUAGUUUUGUAUCUUUAAAUGAGAAUUGGAUUUUCAUUUCAUUUAGCUCCAUCUAAAUCAAUUCUAUGGAUACAAAAACCAAAUGACAAUGUUGCAUUCAAGUUUAAUUAGUUAAAGCAUUAAUUAAUUAAAGAAAGGGUGAUUAUGAACCUAAGCCUAUGAUAAUUGAGUUAUGUGAAAGGCUGUCUCUCAAAUUUGUUUGAACCAUGGGAAUGUGUAGAUUAGAUUUUGGUUGUAAUUUGAUAUGAUCAAAUGUUGUAAAAGAGAAUAAGCUCUUCUUUGCUUUAAAGUAAUUUGUUUUGAUCAAAUAUUGUAAAAGAGCAUAAGCUCUUCUUUACUUUGAAGUACUCCUUCCUUGUUUUAUUUGAUAUGCAUGAAAUUGGAGUAGUAGGGUCCAACGCCCAAUAAGAAAACACGCCUUAAUGUGAUUAAACGUGUAACUAAAAUCAAUCACCAUCCCUAGACCGAGAUCCAACACUAGGCUCGUGUUGGAUCGAAUCAAAGGCUCAUAGUCAUCCUAAGGUCUUUAGGCAACUAUAUAGUCCAUCAAUGAAUGCGAAGCUUAUGUUAGUAGUACCAUAUACUCUUGCUUUAAAAACCAUUUUACAAGCAUAGUGGGAGUAUCAUAUACUAUUAAAUCAAUCACAUGGACCAAUAGUUGUAAUAGGACCAAAUUGUUUUAAUAAGAUUAAAAUGCAUGUUUAUAUGUGAUGAGACCUAAAACCCUCAACCAAACCGUUAUUAAGUUGACAAACGUGAGAGUGCUUUGAACACUCUUUCGUGGCCUUCCACCGUGGUAGGCUCUGAUUGUUUGUGACUCAUACACCGACUUCACCCUAUCAUGGGGGAGUACAAAUUAUGUGCUUACGCUCAAGAGGAGUUCUAUACGCAUACAUGAUGUUGUGAAGGUAGGCAAUGAGAUGAUCAACAUCAUAUCAUUGUGAGGUUGUUCUUGAACCCCCUACCCAAACUUGCAUGGUGGGAAAGACUUAACUAAGUGCAAUGGAGCCAACAUCAUAUCAUUGUGAGGCAUCAUUCUCUAGAGGCCAAAUAAGAUGGUGAUAGGAGCAUAUUUAUGCGACUUAGUUAGCUUGUUUUCUUGCAUUUUCAUAGUUUGUUUGUGU
rnacentral:lncRNA from 1 species